rnacentral:rRNA from 1 species
UGGGGAAUAUUGGACAAUGGGCGAAAGCCUGAUCCAGCCAUGCCGCGUGUGUGAAGAAGGUCUUCGGAUUGUAAAGCACUUUAAGUUGGGAGGAAGGGCAGUAAGCGAAUACCUUGCUGUUUUGACGUUACCGACAGAAUAAGCACCGGCUAACUCUGUGCCAGCAGCCGCGGUAAUACAGAGGGUGCAAGCGUUAAUCGGAAUUACUGGGCGUAAAGCGCGCGUAGGUGGUUCGUUAAGUUGAAUGUGAAAGCCCCGGGCUCAACCUGGGAACUGCAUCCAAAACUGGCGAGCUAGAGUAGGGCAGAGGGUGGUGGAAUUUCCUGUGUAGCGGUGAAAUGCGUAGAUAUAGGAAGGAACACCAGUGGCGAAGGCGACCACCUGGACUCAUACUGACAAUGAGGUGCGAAAGCGUGGGGAGCAAACAGG